UUUAUAAUAAAAAAACACAGUGGUUAUAUCUUCACGUGGAACGCCAAGCCCCGGCCUCCCAGAACAGAGCACAGGAGGUGCAGGGCGUGCUGGGCGGCGGGCGGGGGCCAGGCUCGGCGGGAAGACCCCCGAGCAGCCGCCUUGCGCCUGCGCUUCUCUGCUCACGGGCUUGCCAAAGGGUGAAAGGCAACCUUUUUAAAGGUUGUAAUUACAAAAAGGCGAUGAUUCUUAGUGAAGAUUCAAACUCUCUUAAAUUAAAGAAAAAGAGAAAAGAAAGAAAGGAAUUCCUGGAUUCGUGUAAUUAAAAAGUCAAGGGCAGGUAUAGUCCUAGGCAAGCUUGGAUCCAGACAACCACCCAUUACCCAGCGACGUCGUUUUCUCUCCGGAUCUUGGCUUUGCUUUCUUCUGUGUUAACUUCACUCUCAGGAGACCUUGCCUGUUGGUGGUCCCUGGCAGCCCCAGGCUUUUGUCAUCCUUAUAGCAAAGAACUGCUGGUCCCAGCAGAUGCACCAAAGCCAUCCCUGGACCCAUGUCUUGCCCAGUGGCAUAGAAUAAGCUGCUUAGAUCACAUGCCCGUCUUUAGAGAGAAACAGAGGGCCCAGUCCUAUGCAAACUGCCAUAGACUGCCGUACAUACACCAGGCGCUGGGAGGCCUGACGCGCGGCAUCUUGUCCAUCUGGCCAUUGGAGCUCCAUGCUGCGACGGCCGCGCAGAGGAGCUGGGUCCAGAGCGCCCGGCGCAUCUGCCGUAUCGCGGACUCGACGCCAGCAUCACUGCUGCAUGGAUUCAGACUGGGAUAGACUGCUCCCGAAAUUUGACUUGGAGAAGAAAGCGUGACGUGCACUUCCUGUGUGUGGCAGUCCGCGAGCCGUCCCCGGGCGCCCUCCUCCCGCCUCCACCACUUUGCGCCUGGCUUUCUCUUUGCCCGGAGGAGCCCUCCUCCCGCCUCCACUGGUGAAAUCCUCCUCCGUCCUCACUGCCCAGUUCAAGUCCUCGUCCUCUUUCCGGGCUUCCUGGUUCUCCAGAUGGGAAAAGAGGUGCUCCUAAUCCACGCUCUCGCAGGAGAAGCAGAGCAAGCGCGCAGGGAGUGCUGACUGUCCAUGAGACAUCAUCGGGAUUUCUAGCUGGCGUUUCCUAGAAUCACCUUCCAAAUGAACCACCUGUACUUGAAUGGUGGUUUGAGCGCUGGUGUCUGGAGGAACCAAAACUAAGACAAUGGCUGUAUCAAGAGUCUGAAGAAUGAAGUCAUGGUCGGAGUCUGAGUCAUGCUUCAGAACUGUUUACUGAGAGAAAAGUGCUUCUGAUGGAAGCUCACGCACCAGUGAGGUUGGGGAGCACGAGAAAGUGAGAACAGAAUGGGGCUGAAGGAAAGGACAGGAAAGGAGAAGGGGUUACUUCAACAAGUUGGUUCUGCCGGAGGCUCAGGAACGUGGAGAAGCAGUUUGAGGUGUGCAGAGGAGAAAUGCACAGAAGGCCAGGAAGCCCGACACUAGAUCACUGCCUCCUGGGAAAUCAUGAAAUCUGAUUAAAACAGACACCGUAAGGGCUCUUUUUGUGCUAUGCACUUUUCUUCCUGGGGAAUUUGCAUAUUCCCUGAUAAAAAGAUAGAUAUAAAGUGUCCUGAAGAAUAUUAAGAAGUAAACCGUAGUACAACGCCUUUAGUUUUGAAUAGUAAGAACUCUGUUUCCUCAUUUCCUUUGGAAAUCUAACAAAAUAUUCCUUAUGAAAAAUUUUUGAGGAUAAGCACUUAAAAGACAUUGCUACAAGCUGUGCUCCUAAUGUUUUCUUAUCAUUUUUUACCUACAUGGAAAGCAUACAGAUCACCAUGACGGCCCCGUAGCUGCCAAGUGAAAGGGUGUUAAGAUGAUUUUGACCCUCUACAUUGAAUGUGCUGUCAUCUUUACUGUAAAAGAAAUUACCUAGACUCAAAUCAUUAUCCAGAAGUCACUAAAUCUUUUGACAUAAAAUGGCAAAAUCUUUUAAGAAUAAAUGAUAUAGCAAGACCAAGGAUAAACUGAGUUCAACAAAAAUCAAUUGCUGUGAAAUCUAGUUUGUCUAUUUUGAUUUUGUCUAUUUCCUUGUCUUUCU
rnacentral:lncRNA from 1 species